rnacentral:rRNA from 1 species
GAUGAACGCUGGCGGCGUGCCUAAUACAUGCAAGUCGAGCGAACAGACGAGGAGCUUGCUCCUCUGACGUUAGCGGCGGACGGGUGAGUAACACGUGGAUAACCUACCUAUAAGACUGGGAUAACUUCGGGACACCGGAGCUAAUACCGGAUAAUAUCUUGAACUGCAUGGUUCAAUAGUGAAAGACGGUUUUGCUGUCACUUAUAGAUGGAUCCGCGCCGCAUUAGCUAGUUGGUAAGGUAACGGCUUACCAAGGCAACGAUGCGUAGCCGACCUGAGAGGGUGAUCGGCCACACUGGAACUGAGACACGGUCCAGACUCCUACGGGAGGCAGCAGUAGGGAAUCUUCCGCAAUGGGCGAAAGCCUGACGGAGCAACGCCGCGGGAGUGAUGAAGGUCUUCGGAUCGUAAGACUCUGUGAUUAGGGAAGAACAAAUGUGUAAGUAACUAUGCACGUCUUGACGGUACCUAAUCAGAAAGCCACGGCUAACUACGUG